AAGGGCCAGAAUCCCCCUGGGGAAAUUCAACAAGUGAGACUAUGUUCAUUGGGGACUGUGCUGGGAGGAAGACUAUGCUGAUGGGUCUUGGCCCUGUUCCCCCGUUAAGCCCCCCACUAGGAGGACCACUGCUUUCUUGAGUUCAGUCAUUGGUGCCUGCCCCCUCCUUUGCCAUCCUUACCGUUAUCUGGGAUGAAGGAGGAUUUCUGUACCAGUCAGUCAUAACAGAGGCACAUUUUGGAGAAGGCCAAGGUGAAAGAGUCAUGGAGCCCGUAAGCCCUGCCUGAGCCCAGGGGCCUGGGUAGAUCUCCACAUCAGAGAGCAGGUCCAUGGCUGGAGAGAGGCUUUAAGGGCUUAGUGUUGCAAUAGCCGACUGGAGUUUCAGCUGAGUUUUGGUCACCAUUGAACGAGUGUUAAAGUCUCAGCGCGGUUAUUUUAAAAUAAACCUCUCUUCAUCAGCUUAACAAAUUCCUGCCAUUUCAACAGAGGAUCCAAAGCCGAACACGCUGGGCAUUAGAGUGAACCCAAAUCUCAGGGGCUGCUAUGCCUUCUUCCCAGGCAGCCUCAGUCCCAGGGCCAGGCAGGGCCGAGGUCUGUGGCAGGAUGGGAGGACGAGGUCACCUGUGACAUGAAAAAAUUGCUUCCCCGCGAGCAUGUGUCAGAUCUUUCAAAACAAGGUGCAGCUAACAAGACAAUCAUGUCCUGAGACAGCUAAAGCAGCCACCAGCGCAGUCUGUGAAUAAAGCGUUUGACACUGACUGUAACAUUUAAAGAGAAAUCUCUCUCCAAUCCACUAGCACUAGCCACUGGCAGUGAAAUCUUGAUGGAAGUCUCCUGGUUCAUUCCUGUCAUUACAACUUGCUUGUUUCCACUGUGUAUGUGUCUACGGCUUCCAGAGUUAUGGAUGUUAUUAAGUUUGGAUAUUUUUAUGGACUCACCCACUUACAGUGUACAAGCAAAAUAACCCUUUGUUCUAAUUUAGUUUUUUUCUUUCCCUACAUCCCAUCAAGCAAUUGCUAAUAAAGGACCAAAUAAAUGCAUUCAGAUUGAGCCAUAAUGGAGAGAAAUGCAGUGUCCAAUGAACGGAUCAUUUGCACCCCAAGACUGUAAAGAUGAAUUAUGGUGAUACCCCUUCAAAGUCCUUUUAGUUUAAAAUAUUUCUCCUCGGGAAGAAACAAAAAAAAAAAGCGUAGCAUAUGGAUUUCACCGGGAAGGAUCUGAACAUGCACGAAACAGAACUGUCACAGCCAAAAUUGCUUCAUAUAUCAUAGACCAACACCAGGCAGAUAAUGGCAAACCAGUUCUGAUCAGGGAGUGAUUAUUAUUGCUGAUUCCAAGUGUGAUGCACAGAGCAGACAGGCUUACAGCUUGAUUUUCUUAAAUUGGGCUGACCUUGCAGCGUUGAGAUUCACAAUGGGUUUGCGUUGACCGGUAAAAUAAGGUGCCAACAUGAUGGAGAAGUUAUAAAAGAAGUCAAUCAUC